UACGUAGGGGGCAAGCGUUGUCCGGAAUCAUUGGGCGUAAAGCGCGCGUAGGCGGCCCCGAUCAGUCUGCUGUGAAAGUCAAAGGCUCAACCUUUGAAUGCCGGUGGAUACUGUCGGGCUAGAGUCCGGAAGAGGCGGGUGGAAUUCCUGGUGUAGCGGUGGAAUGCGCAGAUAUCAGGAGGAACACCAACGGCGAAGGCAGCCCGCUGGGACGGUAGCUGACGGCUAAGGCGCGAAAGCGUGGGGAGCAAACAGG
rnacentral:rRNA from 1 species